rnacentral:rRNA from 1 species
CAAUAGCGUAUAUUAAAGUUGUUGCGGUUAAAAAGCUCGUAGUUGGAUUUCUGCCGAGGACGACCAGUCCGCCCACUGGGUGAGCAUCUGGCUCAGCCUUAGCAUCUUCUUGGAGAACGUAUCUGCACUUCAUUGUGUGGUGCGGUAACCAGGACUUUUACUUUGAGGAAAUUAGAGUGUUUCAAGCAGGCGUGCGCCUUGAAUACAUUAGCAUGGAAUAAUAAGAUAGGACCUUAGUUCUAUUUUGUUGGUUUCUAGAGCUGGGGUAAAGAUUAAUAGGGAUAGUUGGGGGCAUUCGUAUUUAACUGUCAGAAGUGAAAUUCUUGGAUUUGUUAAAGACGGACUACUGCGAAAGCAUUUGCCAAGGAUGUUUUCAUUGA